rnacentral:rRNA from 1 species
GAUGAACGCUAGCGAUAGGCCUAACACAUGCAAGUCGAGGGGCAGCACAUGAGUAGCAAUACGAUGGUGGCGACCGGCGCACGGGUGAGUGACCCGUAUGCAACCUACCUUUAACAGGGGAAUAACCCGUUGAAAAACGGACUAAUACUCCAUAACACAGGGGUCCCGCAUGGGACUAGUUGUUAAAGAUGCAGCGGUUGAAGAUGGGCAUGCGUUCCAUUAGCUUGUUGGUGAGGUAACGGCUCACCAAGGCCACGAUGGAUAGGGGAACUGAGAGGUUUAUCCCCCACACUGGAACUGAGACACGGUCCAGACUCCUACGGGAGGCAGCAGUGAGGAAUAUUGGUCAAUGGAGGCAACUCUGAACCAGCCAAGUCGCGUGAAGGAUGAAGGUCUUAUGGAUUGUAAACUUCUUUUGCAAGGGAAUAAAGUGGGGGACGUGUCCUCCUUUGCAUGUACCUUGCGAAUAAGGAUCGGCUAACUCCGUGCCAGCCGCCGCCGUAA